ACUCCUACGGGAGGCAGCAGUGAGGAAUAUUGGACAAUGGGCGCAAGCCUGAUCCAGCCAUGCCGCGUGCAGGAUGACGGUCCUAUGGAUUGUAAACUGCUUUUAUACGAGAAGAAACACUCCAACGUGUUGGAGCUUGACGGUAUCGUAAGAAUAAGGAUCGGCUAACUCCGUGCCAGCAGCCGCGGUAAU
rnacentral:rRNA from 1 species